GGCUGGAAACAGUCUUUUGUGGAAUCUGUGGAUGGACAUUUGAAAUCCCUUUGAGACCUGUAGAGAAAACGGAAUACUCUCAGAGAAAAAGUAGAAAGAAGCUAUAUGUGAAACUGCUUUGUUUUACGUUGAUUCAUUUCAAAGAGAUAAACCUUUCUUUUUAUUCAGAAGUUGGAAACAGUCUUUUUGUAGGGUCCGCAAGGAGACAUUUUGGAGCCCAUUGAGGCUUGUAGUGAAAAAUCAAAUAUCCCCAGAUAAAAGCUAGAAAGACGCUGUCUGUGAAACGACUUUGUGAUGUGUGGAUUCAUCUCACAGAGUUAAACCUUUCUUUUGAUUCAGCUGGUUGGAAACACUUCUUUUUUUAGAAUCUGCAAAAGGAUAUUUGGGAGCCCACUGAAGCCCUUGUUGAAAAACUGAAUAUUGCCAAAUGAAAAUUAGAAAGAAACUAUCUACAAAACUCGUUUGUGUUGUGUUGGUUCACCACACUGAGUUAACUCUUUCUCUUGAUUAACAUGUUGGAAACACUCUUUUUUUAGAAUCUGCAAAGGGACAUUGCAGAGCCCAUUGAAGCCUGCAGUGAAAAACGAAAUAUCCCCAGAUAAAAACUAGAAAGAGGAAAUCUGUAAAAUUGCUUUGUGAUGUGUGGAUUCAUCUCACAGAGUUAAACUUUACUUUUGAUCAGCAUGUUGGAAACAGUCUUUCUGAAGAAUCUGCAAAGAGACAUUUGGGAGCCCAUUGUGGCCUUUGGUGAAAAACAGAAUAUCCCCAGAAAAAAAGUAGAAAAAACUAUCUGUGAAACUGCUUUGUGAUAUGUGGAUUCAUCUCACAGAGUUAAACUUUAAUUCAGCAGUUUCUAAACUCUGCUUUUGUAGAAUAUUUGAAAAGGCAUUUGGGAGCCCAUUGAGGCAUAAGGUGAAAAAUAUCCCAAGACAAAAAAAGAAAGAAAUAUCUGUAAAACUGCUUUGUGAUGUGUGGAUUCAUCUCAGAGAGUUAUAUAUUACUUUUGACUCAGCAGGCUGGAAACACUCUUUAAGCACUCUUUUUGUAGAAUCUGUGAAGGGACAUUUGGGAGAACAUUGUAGCCUAUGGUGAAAAACUGAAUAUCCUAGAUAAAAACAAGAAAGAAUUUCUCCAUGAAAGUACUUUCUGAUGUGUGCAGUCAUCUCACAGAGCAGGUUGGAAACACUCUCUUUAUAGAAACUACUAAGGGACAUUUGAAAGCCUAUUGAGGCCUAUGGUGAAAAAUAGAAUAUCUCCAGAUAAAAACGAGAAAGAAGUUAUCUGUGAAUCUGCUUUGUGAUGUGUGCAUUCAUCUCAUAGCGAUAAAAGUUUCUUUUGAUUUGACUGGUUGGAAACACUCUUUUCAUAGAAUCUGGGAAGAAACAUUUUUGGGCCCCUUAAGGACUAUGGUGAAAAAUCAAAUAUCCCCAGGUAAAACAAAAAAGCAGUUAUCUUUGAAAGUCCUUUGUGAUGUGUGGAUUCAUCUCACAGAGUUAAGUCUUUCUUUUGAUUUAGCAGUUAGGAAACACUUUUUUUGUAGAAUCUGCAAAGUGACAUUUGGGAGCCCAUUGAGGACUAUGGUGAGAAACCAAAUAUCCACAGAUUAAAACGAGUAAGAAGCUGUCUGCGAAUGUGCAUUGUGAUGUCUGGAUUCAUCACACAGGGAUACAACUUUCUUAAAUGCAGUAGGUUUUAUGCACUCUUUUUUUAGAGUCUGCGUAGGGACAGUUGGGAACCCUUUGAAGACUGUGGUGAAAAAACAUAUAUUCCCAGAUAAAAACUAGAAGCAAGCUAUCUACAAAACUGCUUUGUGAUUUGUAGAUUCAUCUUACAGUGUUAAACCUUUCUUUUGAAUCUGUACAUUGGAAAAACUUUCUUUGUAGAAGCUGCAAAGAGACAUUUAAGGGGCAAUUGAGGCCUAUGGUGAAAAACUAAUUAUCCCCAGAAAAAAAAAAGAAAAAAGUUAUCUGUGAAACUGCUUUGUAAUGUAUGGAUUCAAGUCACAAGGUUAAACAGAUCUUUUGAUUCAGCUGGUUACAAACACUCUUUUUGUAGAAUCUGUGAAGAGACAUUUGGUAGUGCAUUGAGGCCUAUGGUAAAAAAAAAGAUUAUCCCCCUAAAGAAAACAGAAAAAAGCUAUUUGUGAAACUGCUUAUUGAGGUGUAGAUUCAUCUCACAGAGUUAAACCUUUCUUCUGAUUCAGAAGAUUGGAAACACUCUUUUUGUGGAAUUUGUGAGGGGACAUUUGAGAGCCCGUGGAGGCCUAGGGUAAAAAAUUGAAUAUCCCAAGAUAAAAACGAGAAAGAAUCUAUCUGUGAAAGUGCUUUGUAAUGUGUGGAUUCAUCUCCCAGGGUUAAACAUUUCUUUUGAUUCAGCAUGUUGGAGACACUCUUUUGUAGAAACUGCAAAGGGAAAUUUGAGAGCCCAUUGAGUCCUAUGGUGAAAAACUGAAUAUCCCAACAUAAAAACUAGAAAGAAGAUAGCUAAGAUAGUGCUUUGUAAUGUGUGGAUUUAUCCCACUGAGAUAAACCUUUCUUUUGAUUCAGUGUGUUUUAAGCACUCUUUUUGUAGCAUGUGCAAAGGGACAUUUGAAAGCUGAUUGGGUCAUAUAAUGAAAAACAGAAUAUGCCCAAAUAAAAACUAGAAAGAAACUGUCUGUGACACUGCUUUGUGAUGGGUGGAUUCAUUUCACAGAGUUAAAACUUUCGUCUUAUUCAGCUGUUUGGAAACGCUCCUUUUGUAGAAUGUGUUAAAGGACAUUUGAGAGCCCAUGGAGGCCUAAGGUGAAAAACUGAGUAUACCCAAAUGAAAACCCUCUGUGAAUCUUCUUUGUGAUGUGUGUAUUCAUCUCAGAGGGUUACACCUUUCUUUUGAUUCAGCAGGUUGGAAACACUCUUUUUGUAUAAUCUGCAAAGGGACAUUUGGGAGCUGAUUGAGGCCUAGUAUAAAAAACUGUAUAUGCCUAGAUAAAAACUAGAAAGAAGCUAUCAGUGAACCUGCUUAAUGAUGUGUGGAUUCAUCUAACAGCGCUAAAAGUUUAUUUUGGUUAAGUAGGUUGGAAAAACUUUUUGUAGAAUCUGUGAAGAGAAAUUUAAAAGCCCUUUGAGGGCUAUGGUGAAAAACUGAAUAUCCUGAGAUAAAAACAAGAAAGAAGCUAUCUGUGAAACUGCUUUUGGAUGUGUGGAUUCAUCCAAAAGAGUUAAACACUUCUUCGUGUUCAGCACGUUGGAAACACACUUCUUGGAGAAUCUACAAAUGGACAUUUCUAAGACCAUUGUAGCCUAAGGUGAAAAACCGAGUAUCUUCAGAUAAAAACUAGAUAUAAGGUAUCUGUGAAACUACUUUGUCAUGUGUGGAUUCAUUUCACAGAGUUAAAGCUUUCUUUUGAUUCAGCAGGAAGAAAACACACUUUUUGUAGAAUCUGCAAAGGGACAUUUGGAAGCCCAUUGAGGCCUACGAUGAGAAACACAUUAUCCAGAGGUAAAACUGGAAAGAAGUUAUCUGUGAAACUGCUUUUGAUGUGUGGAUACAUCUCACAGAGUUCAAUGUUUCUUUUGAAUCAGGAAGUUGGAAACACUCUUUUUCCAGAAUCUUCAAAGAAACACUUGGGAGCCCAUAGAGGCAUAGGGUGAAAAAUCGAAUAUCCCAGUAUGCAAACUAGAAAGAAGCUAUCUGCGAGACUGCUUUUGAUGUGCAGAUACAUAUCACAGAGUUAAACCUUUACUUUUGAUUCAGCAGGUUGGAAACAUUCUUUUUGUAGAAUCUGCAAAAAGACAUUUCAGAACCUAUUGAAGGCUAUGGUGAAAAACAGAAUAUCCACAGGUAAAAAUUGGAAAGAAACUAUCUGUAAAAGUGCUUUGUGAUGUGUGGAUUCAUCUCAGAGUUAAACGUUUGUUUUGAUUCAGCAGGUUGGAAGCUCUUCUUUUGUAGAAUCUGCGAAGGGAAAUUUGGCAACCCAGAGAGUCUUGUGGUGAACAAUAGAAUAUACCCAAAUAAAAAUUAGAAAGAAGCUAUCUGUGAAUCUGCUUUGUGAUGUGUGGAUUCAUCUCACAGGGUUAAACAUUUCUUUUGAUUCACUAGUUUGGAAAUCCUCUUUUUGUAGAAUCUGUGAAGGGACAUUUGGGAGCACAUUGAGGCCUAAGGUACAAAACCAAGUAUCCCAGUAUACAAAGUAGAAAAAAGCUAUCUGUUAAACUGAUUUCUGAUUUGUGGAUUCAUUUCAUAGAGUUAAAUUUUUUUUUUAUUUAACAUGUUGGAAGCUGUCUUUUUAUGGAAUCUGCAAUAAGACAUUUGGAAGCUAUUUGAGGCCUACCAUAAAAACCAGAUAUCCCCAGAUAAAAACUAGAAACAAGCUAUCAUUUAAACUGUUUUGUGAUGUGUCAUUUCAUCUCACAGAGUUAAAACCUUUCUUUUGAUUUGGCAAGUUGGAAACACUUUUGUUGUGGAAUGUGAGAAGAGACAUUUUGAAGCCCAUUGAGGCUGAUAAUGAAAAGCAGAAAAUCUCCAUAUAAAAACUUGAAAGACACUAUCUGUGAAACUGCUUUGUGAUGUGUGGAUUCAAGUUACAGAUUUAAAACCGUCUUUUGAUUCAGCUGGUUGGAAACACUCUUAUGUAGAAUCUGUGAAGAGACAUUUUGGGGCCCUUUGAGGCCUAUGGUGAAAACCAGAAUAUCCUCAGAUAAUUACUAGAAAGAAUCUAUCUGUGAAAAUGCUUUGCUAUGUGUAUAUUCAUCUCAAAGAGUUAAAACUUUCUUUUGAUUCAGUAUGUUGGAAUACUUUUUUUGUAGAAUCUGUGAAGGAAAAUUUUGGAGCUUAUUAAGUCCUAUGGUGAAAAACGGAAUAUUCCCAGAUAAAAACUAGAAAGAAGCUAUCUGUGAAACUGCUUUGUGAUGUGUGGACUCAUCUCACAGAGUAAAACCUUUCUUUUGAUUCAGCAGUUUGGAAAUACUCUUUUUGUAGAAUCUCCAAAGGGACAUUUGAGAGCCCAUGAUGGUCUACCAUAAAAAUCUGAGGAUCCUCAGAUAAAAACUAGAAAGAAGCUAUCUGUGACACUGCUUGUGAUGUGUGGAUUCAUCACAAAGAGUUAAAAGUUUUUUUGAUUCAGCAGGUUGGAAUCACUCUUUUUGUAGAAACUGUGAAGAGACAUUUGAGAGCCCUUUGAGGCACACGCUGAAAAACCAAUUAUCCAAAGAUAAAAACUAGAAAGAAACUAUUUGUGAAACUGCUUGGUGAUGUGUCUAUUCAUCUCAAAAUUUAAACAUAUAUUUUGAUUCAGCAGGUUUGAAACACUGUUUUGUUAGAAUCCGUGAAGGGAUAUUAGAGAGCCCAUUUAGGCAUAUAGUGAAAAACCAAAUAUCCUCACAUAAAAACUAGAAAGAAACUUUCUGUGAAAUUGCUUUGUGAUGUGUGGAUUCAUCUCAGAGAGUUUAACCUUUUUUGAUUCAGCAGUUUGGAAACACUUCUAUUGUAGAAUCUGUGAAGAGACAUUUUGGAGUUCAUUUAGGCCUAUGGUAAAAAACAAAUAUCACCAGAAAAAAGAACUAGAAAUAAGCUAUCGGUGAAACUGCCCUGUAAUUAGUGGAUUUGUCUCAUGGAGUAAAACUUUUCACUUGAUUCAGUAGUUUGGAAACACCCUUUUUGUAGAAUAUCCAAAGGAACAUUUUGGAGCCCACUGAGGUUUAUGUUGAAAAACCUAAUAUCCCCAGAUAAAAACUAUAAAGAAGCAAACUGUGAAGCUGCUUUGUGGUGUGUGAAUUCAUCUCACAGUUAAACUUUUCUUUUGAUUCAGCAUGUUGGAAACACCCUUUUUGUAGAAAGUCUGAAGAGACAUUAGGGAGCCCUUUGAUGCCUAUGUUGAAAAACCGAUUAUCCAAAGAUAAAAAGGAGAGAUAAGCUAUGCUUUGUGAUACGUAGAUUCAUCUCAGAAAGUUAAACCUUUCUUUUGAUUUAGCACGUUUGAAACACUCUUUUUGUAAAAUGUGCAAAGGGACAUUUUGGAGUCCAUUGAGGCCUAUGGUGAAAAACAGAAUAUCCCUACAUGAAAACUAGAAAGAAGCUAUAUGUGAAAGUGCUUUGUGAUGUGUGCAUUCAUCUCACACAGUUAAACCUUGCUUUUGAUUCAGUAGGUUGGAAACACACCUUUUGUGGAAUCCAUGAAGGGACAUUUGUGAACUGUUGGACUAUGGUGAAAAAAUGAUUAUUCCCAGAUAAAAACUAGAAAGAAGCUACCUGGUAAACUGCUUUGUGAUGUGUAGAUUCAUCACACAGAGAUGAACCUUUCCUUUGAUUCAGCAGGUUGGAAACACUUCUUUUGUAGAAUCUAUGAAGGGAUCUUUGGGAGUUUAUUGAGGCCUAUAGUGAAAAACAGAAUAUCACCACAUAAAAGCUAGAAAGAAGCUCUCUGUCAAAUUGCUUUGUGAUGUGUGGAUUCAUUUCAUAGAGUUAAACCUUUGUUUUCAUUCAGCAGUUUGAAAACACUCUUUUUGUAGAAGCUGCAAAGGAACAUUUGGGAGCCUAUUGAAAUCUUUGGUGAAAAACCGAAUAUUCCCAGAUAAAAACUAGAAGGAAGCUAUCUAUGAAGUGCUUUGUGAUGUGUGGAUUCAUCUCACAGUGUUAAACCUUUCUUUUGACUCAACAGGUGGUAACACUCUUUUGUGAAAAUCUGCAAAAAGACAUUUUGGAGCACUUUGAGCCUUAUGGAGAAAAACAGAGAAUCCACAGAUAAAAACUAGAAAGAAGCUGUUUGUGAAAGUGUUUUGUGAUGUGUGGAUUCAUUUCACAGAGUUAAACCAUUCUUUUGAUUCGGAAUGUUGGAAACACUCUUUUUGUAGAAUCUGUGAGGGGACAUUUAAGAGCAUUCAGGACUACAAUGAAAAACUAAAUAUCCCCAGAAAAACUAGAAAGAUGCUAUUUGUGAAAGUGCUUUGUGAUUGGUGGAUUUAUCUCUCUGUUAAACAUUUUUUUUAUUCAGCAGGUGGGAAACUGUCUUUUUGUAGAAUCUCCAGGGGGACAUUUUUGAGCCCAUUGUGGACUAUGGUGAAAAACUGAAUAUUUCAAGAUAAAAACUAGAAAGAAACUAUCUGUGAAACUGCUUUGUGAUUUGUGGAUUUGUAUCACAGAGUUAAACCUUUCUUUUGAUACAGUAGGUUGGAAACACUCUUUUUGUAGACUCUGUGAACAGACACUUGAGAGCCCAUUGAGGCCUAUGGUGAAAAACAAAUUGUCCCUAGAUAAAUACUAGAAAGAACCUACCUGUAAAAUUGCCUUCUGAUGUGUGGAUUCAUCUCAAAGGGUUAAACUUUACUUUUGACUCACCAGGUGGUAGCACUCUUUUUUUUUGGAAUCUGCGAAGGGUCAUUUUGGAGCCCUUUUGAGCCCUAUGUUGAAAAACAGAAAGUCCUCAGAUAAAACCUAGAGAGAAACUUCCUGUGAAACUGCUUUUUGAUAUAUUGAUUCAUCACACAGAGAUAAAACUUUCUUUUGAUUCAGCAGGUUGGUAACACUUCUCUUGUAGAAUCUGUGAAUAAACAAUUUGGAGCCCAUUUAUGCUUAUGGUGAAUGACCAUUUAUUGCCAGAUAAAAAGUAGAAAGAAGCUAUCUGUAAAACUGCUUUGUAAGGUGUAGAUUUAUCUCACAGAGUUAAACUUUUCUUUUCCAUCAGCAGGUUGAAAACACAGCUUUUGUAGAAACUGCAAAGGGACAUUUGGAAUCCCACUGAGUCCUAUGGGUGGAAAAUUGUAAAUCACCCCAUAAAAUCUAGAAAGAAGCUUUUUGUGAAACUGCUUUGUGAUGUUUGGAUUCAGGUCACAGAGUUAAACCUUUGUUUUGAUUCAGCAGGUUGUAAACACUCUUUUAGAGAAUCUGCAAAGCAACAUUUUUAACCCAUUGAAACCUAUGGUGAAAAACUGAACGUCCCCAGAUAAAAACUAGAAAGAAACUACCUGAGAAACUGCUUGUGAUGUGUGGAUUUUUCUCACAAAGUUAAACCUUUCUUUUGAUUCAGCAUGUUGGAAACACUUUUUUUGUAGAAUCUGCAAAGGGACAUUUUGGUGGCCAUUGAGGCCUAUGGUGAAAAACAGAAUAACCCCAGAUAAAAAUGAGAAAGAAGCAAUCUGUGAAACUGCUUUGUGAUGUUUGGAUUUAUCUCACAGCAUUGAACCUAUCUUUUGAUUCAGCAGGUUGGAAACACCUUUUUGUAGAAUCUGUAAAGGGACAUUUGGGAUUCCAUUGAUGCCUAAGGUGAAAAACCGAAUGUCCCCAGAGAAAAACAUGAAAGAAGCUGUCUGAGAAUCUGCUUUGUGACGUGUAGACUCCUCUCACAGAGUCACCCCUUUCUUUCAAUUCAGCAGUUUGGAAACACUCUUUUUGUAGACUCUGCAAACGGUAAUUUUGGAACCCGAGUUUGCCUAUGGCCAAACACCAAAUAUUCCCAGAUAAAAACUAGAAAGAAGCUCUUUGUAAAACUGCUUUGUGAUGUGUAGAUUCAUCUCAAAAAGUUAAACCCUCCUUUUCAUUCAGCAGGUUAAAAACACUAUUUUUGUAGAAUCUGCAAAGAAACAUAGUGGGCUUAUUGAGGCCUGUGUUGCAAAACUGAAUAUCCCCAGAGAAAAACAAGAAAGAAGCUACUUGUGAAACUGCCCUGUGAAGUGUAGAUGAAUCUCACAGAGUUAAUCCUUUCUUUUAAUUCAGCAGGUUUGAAACACCCUGGUUGUAGAUUCUGCAAAGAGUUAUUUGAGAGCAUUUUGAGGCCUAUGAUAAAAAACCGAAUAUCCCUAGAUGAAAACUAGAAGAAAGCUCUUUGAAAAACUGCUAUGUUUUGUGUAGAUUCAUCUGAAAGAGUUAAACAUUUCUUUUCUUUCAGCAGGUUGGAAACACUCUUUUUGUAGAAUCUGCAAGGGACAUUUGGGCACCUGUUGAUGAGUAUGGUGAAAAACCAUAUGUCCCCAAAUAAAAACUAGAAAGAAGCUAUUUGUGAAACUGCUUUGGGUUGUGUUGAUUUAUCUAACAGACUUGAACCUUUCUUUUGAUUCAGCAGGUUGGAAACAUUCUUUUUGUGGAAUCAGCAAAGAGACAUUUGGGAGCCCAUUGUGGCCUAUGGUGAAAAAAAAAAGAAUAUCCCCAGAUAAAAACUAGAAAGAAGCUAUCUGUGAAAUUCCUUUGUAAUGAGUAGAUUUAUCUUACAGAGUUAAACUUAUGUUUUGAUUCAUCAGGUUGGAAACACUCUUUUUGUAGAAUCUGCACAGGGACUUCUGGAGACCAUUUAAACCUAUGGUGAAAACCGUAUAUACCCAG
rnacentral:lncRNA from 10 species